rnacentral:lncRNA from 1 species
GCCUAUCUCUAUUUUUUUGUGCAAAUCCAACAUUGUCAUCAAUCCACCAAAAAGGGGGAGAUUGUUAGGGCAUAUUUCUCCUAAGUGGUUUUAGUGAUUGAUGACAAUUGUUGUGCGGACUAAUCUUGUGUCCUGAGCAUUUCAGAAUAUUCUCCUUUAGGCACAAGAUGACUCGACGCCCCUCAGAGGAUCUCGAAGACGGAUUUUCUUCUGCAUUUAUCUUCCUAGUUUGAGUCAUAGGAAAGUCUUCGUACCAAGAGGGGGUCCGCGUCGGAAAGGUUUGGGUGGAAUCCUCACGCACACACCUCA